UACGAAGGGGGCGAGCGUUGUUCGGAUUUACUGGGCGUAAAGGGCGCGCAGGCGGUCUUGAAAGUCAGGCGUGAAAGCCCCGGGCUUAACCUGGGAAUUGCGCUUGAUACUCUGAGACUGGAGUACGGGAGAGGAGAGUGGAAUUCCCAGUGUAGAGGUGAAAUUCGUAGAUAUUGGGAAGAACACCAGUGGCGAAGGCGGCUCUCUGGACCGUAACUGACGCUGAUGCACGAAAGCUAGGGGAGCAAACAGG
rnacentral:rRNA from 1 species